UGAAAGAUCUAGGUGGAGUGGGGUCCUCACAGAUGGUACUUUAGGGAGAAUGCAGGGAGGACUUCUUAUUGAAGAUGGUCCAGGGAGCACCUGCCAUGCUGAGAAGAACAGGAAAUGACAAGGAAGGACAAGGACAAUACUGAAAUUUGCCAAGUGAGUCACAGGAAGAAGACAGACAUUCUGAAGCAGAAAACCAUUGUUGGGAGUCAUGGGAGGCAUUCACUGGGACACGGACAAUGAAUGACAACCCUCAAGAGAGAAAUGACUCUCUGUCAGGAGCCAGCGCUUAACUGCUUAGGAAGAAGAAGAAGACCCACACUCCAACCCUCAAACAAGCAAAGCAAAUGAAGCACGGAG